rnacentral:misc_RNA from 1 species
GAUGAGAACGUAGCGAAAUGCGAUAACUAAUGUGAAUUGCAGAAUUCAGUGAAUCAUCGAGUCUUUGAACGCACAUUGCGCCCCCUGGUAUUCCGGGGGGCAUGCCUGUCCGAGCGUCAUUGCUGCCCUCAAGCACGGCUUGUGUGUUGGGCUCCGUCCUCCCGGGGACGGGCCCGAAAGGCAGCGGCGGCACCGAGUCCGGUCCUCGAGCGUAUGGGGCUUUGUCACCCGCUCUGUAGGCCCGGCCGGCGCCAGCCGACAACCCAUCAUCCUUUUCAGGUUGACCUCGGAUCAGGUAGGGAUACCCGCUGAACUUAAGCAUAUCAAUAAGCGGAGGA